rnacentral:rRNA from 1 species
CCUACGGGAGACAGCAGUGAGGAAUAUUGGUCAAUGGUCGGGAGACUGAACCAGCCAAGCCGCGUGAGGGAGGAAGGUACAGAGUAUCGUAAACCUCUUUUGUCAGGGAACAAAGACUGGGACGCGUCCCCGGAUGAGUGUACCUGAAGAACAAGCAUCGGCUAACCCCGUGCCAGCAGCCGCGGUAAUACGGGGGAUGCGAGCGUUAUCCGGAUUUAUUGGGUUUAAGGGGUGCGCAGGCGGUCUGUUAAGUCAGCGGUAAAAGCCCGGGGCAAAACCCGGGCCCGCCGUUGAAACUGGCAGUCUCGAGUUGGAGAGAAGGAUGCGGAAUGCGCGGUGUAGCGGUGAAAUGCAUAGAUAUCGCGCAGAACUCCGAUUGCGAAGGCAGCAUGCCGGCUCCACACUGACGCUGAGGCACGAAAGCGUGGGUAUCGAACAGGAUUAGAUACCCUUGUAGUC